rnacentral:lncRNA from 1 species
UAGUCCUUGGUCAUACAUUUAGACAUUUUACUAAUGUAUUCAUCUUGUAGGUCCCAAUUGAUUUUUAUUUUUUAUUUAUCAUCUCAAGCAUUUGAUUACAUUAAUAUUAUAUUAAAUAUGAACAUAUCAAUUAUAACAUAUAACAUUCAUAUUGUAUAAUAAUGUCAUAACAUAUAUAUAAAUGUAUAGUAUUUAAUGUAUUUGUUGACAUGUUAAAUAUACAUUAAUAUAUUUGAUAUACUAUAUUAAAAAUACAAUUGAUUAAUUAAUAUAGUCUCUAUACUCAUUUAUACAUCCUAUAAUAUCCCAUGAAGCUAACAUCACAAUUUAGCCACUUUCCUGACCAGUGUGUUCAGCAACCACCAUUUUGUGUGAUCAGAAGAAUGCUUUUUUCUUGUAUUUGCAUAGAAUAUUUCCAGGAGGAAAUACUAAAAGAAACUGGUGUAAUAAUGGUAGCCUUUGGGAAGAAGGAUUAAGAGUGUGAACUGACAGCUUUAUAUUUCAAUGUAUAUCAUUUAUUUAUUUAUUUUUUAUUGGGGGAACCCACAGUAUAUGGAAGUUCACAGAUAUUAUUUAAAUUAUAAAUAACAUGUUUUCUACAGGAUGCUUUCAACAGCUGUGGGACUUUAUAACUGGGGUUCAGAUAUAUUACUCGCCUUUUUAGGUGUUUCUUUGUUUGUCUUUUGUUUGUUUUGUUCUGUUUUGUUUUUCUGAGGAAGGGGCAGGUCUAGAGUAUUAACCCUGUGCUUUUUUUUUUUUAACAGCCGCACCUGUGGCAUAUAGACGUUCCCAGGCCAGGGGUUGAAUCAGAGCUACAGCUGAGGCCUACCCCACAGCCAUAGCAACACCAGAUCCAAGUUGCACCUGGGACCUACACCACAGCUUGCAGCAAGCCUGAAUCCUUAACCCAUGGAGCAAUGCCAGGGAUUGAACCUACAUCUUCAUGGAGACUAUGCCACGUUCUUAACCCGCUGAAUCACAAAGGGAACUCCUACCCUAUGAUUUUGAUACCAGAAAAACAAGUGAUUCAUAUUAAUGGAAAGAUGGGAACUGAGUUGUCUAUAACAAGAUUCCUUUGAAAAAUGACACAAUAUGUGCCAAAAACAUCAAGAAAGGCAGGUCUCUGCUUAAAAAAAGAAAAAAAAAAAAAAAAAAAAAAAAACAGCUAAUGGAUUCUUUCAAAUAUAAUAUGUCAAGGGUCAGAUGCUGGAACACCAGACAAUCUUUAAGGAUCAUCAGUUUACAAAACUCUCAGAUUACAAGAACUCCACAUCCACCCUCUAAUUUUAACACAUAUGUUCUUGUUUCAUUCAAUUACUUUCAAAUGUGUGCUUUAAAGUGACAAAUUUAGGAGUUCCCAUAGUGGCUCAGCGGAAACGAAUCUGACUGGCAUCCACGAGGACACAGGAUAGAUCCCUGGCCUCGCUCAGCAAGUUAAGGAUCCAAUGUUCCUGUGAGUUGUGUAGGUCACAGACGCAGCUCAGAUCUGACAUUGCUGCGGCUAUGGUGCAGGCCAGCAGCUACAGCUCCGAUUCAGUCCCUAGCCUGGGAACUUCCAUAAGCCUCAGUGCAGCCCCCAAAGGACAAAAAAAUUAAAAAGUAAAGUGGCAAAUUUAAUGGGAGUUUCAGUUAUGGCUCAGUGGGUUACAAACCCAACUAGUAUCCAUGAGGAUGCAGGUUUGAUACCUGACCUCACUCAGUAGGUUAGGGAUCUGUGUUGCCAUGAGCUGCAGUAUAGGUCGCAGAUGUGGCUCAGAUCCC